AGUUGCCAUCAUUCAGUUUGGGGCACUCUAGCGAGACUGCCGGUAAUAAACCGGAGGAAGGUGGGGAGUGACGUCAAAUCAUCAUGCCCCUUAUGACCUGGGCUACACACGUGCUACAAUGGUUGGUACAACGAGUUGCGAGUCGGUGACGGCGAGCUAAUCUCUUAAAGCCAAUCUCAGUUCGGAUUGUAGGCUGCAACUCGCCUACAUGAAGUCGGAAUCGCUAGUAAUCGCGGAUCAGCACGCCGCGGUGAAUACGUUCCCGGGCCUU
rnacentral:rRNA from 1 species